CAGUCGCCACGGUAAAACGUAGGUGGCAAGCGUUGUCCGGAAUUAUUGGGCGUGAAGCGCGCGCAGGCGGAUCAGUCAGUCUGUCUUAAAAGUUCGGGGCUUAACCCCGUGAGGGGAUGGAAACUGCUGAUCUAGAGUAUCGGAGAGGAAAGUGGAAUUCCUAGUGUAGCGGUGAAAUGCGUAGAUAUUAGGAAGAACACCAGUGGCGAAGGCGACUUUCUGGACGAAAACUGACGCUGAGGCGCGAAAGCCAGGGGAGCGAACGGGAUUAGAUACCCCAGUAGUCCCUGUCUCUUAUACA
rnacentral:rRNA from 1 species